rnacentral:rRNA from 1 species
AGUGAACGCUGGCGGUAGGCCUAACACAUGCAAGUCGAACGGCCGCACAGUAAGAUCUUGCUCUUACGGGUGGCGAGUGGCGGACGGGUGAGGCAUACAUCGGCAUCUACUUUUUCGUGGGGGAUAACGUAGGGAAACUUACGCUAAUACCUCAUACGACCUACGGGUGAAAUCAGGAGAUCUUCGGACCUUGCGCGUUUGAAUGAGCCGAUGUCGGAUUAGCUAGUUGGCGGGGUAAAGGCCCACCAAGGCGACGAUCCGUAGCUGGUCUGGGAGGAUGAGCAGCAACACAGGAGAGAAGACACGGUCAAGACUACGAGGGGCGGCAGAAGGGGAGAAUAUGGGACAGGGGGCACAAGCAUGAACCAGCCAUACGGGAGGGAUGAAGAAGGCCUGAGGGUUGAAAAGUCCUUUUGUGGAAAAAGAAAAGCAGAAGGUAAAAACCCCGCUGUGCUGACGGUAACUAAGAAAGAAGCACCGGAUAACGUG